GUUAUGUUCUUUAAAUUUAAAAAAUUUGGCGGUAUUUUAAUCUUAUUAGAGGAACCUGUUUAUUAAUUGAUAAUCCACGAUUAAUUUUACUUAUUUUAUUAAUUCAUAUAUCGCUGUCAUGAAUAUAUUAAAAAAUUUAUUUUCUUUAUUUAUAUUUAUAAUUUAUGUUAAGUCAAGAUGUGGUUUAUAAAUAAGUAUAUAAUGGGUUACAUUAAAUUAUAUUUUUGGAUUUUAAAUGAAAAUUAAAAUGAAAUUGGAUUUAAAAGUAAAUUUAUUUAUUUAAUUAAUAUGAAUAAAGAUCUAAAAUAUGUACAUAUUGCCCGUCAUUCUUAUUAAAAAUAAGACAAGUCGUAACAAAGUAAAUGUACUGGAAAGUGUAUUUAGAAAGAUUUAUUAUAUAAA
rnacentral:rRNA from 1 species